GCCUGAGUCUUAUUACCUCUCAACUAGAUGCAAACCAGAAGACAUUCAAGCAGCACUUUGAGAGCAAGCACCCCAAGUCUCCAAUUGUCCCAGUACUGGUUGAUGUGCAGGCCUACUGUAAAUAACCACAUACACUCAAAUGGACCUACAGCUGGGACACUUGAUGACCACGAUUUGAAUGACGUUGAGGGACACGCUGAGACCCAGAGUACAACUGGACAUGGGACGGAUAUUUGAGACAAUGACUUAAAAGGCAUGCAGAAGCACACCAGCACCCCAUUUGAUGUUUAUUCCAUGGCCAACCAUACCUCUAGCUACCCCCUAUUCCACAUUGCCUUUUAUGCCCCAUGGUCCCUCAACUUCGAACAUUUUGGAACUCUCCAUCUUAUCUCUAUAAACCCACCCUACCUUCACCCAUCUUCCCAAUGCUGCUUCCUUAACUUGUUCUUCUCCCGAUUUGAUAACAUCUAGACUCAGUAACAUGUUUAAAUGUAUUGUGGUGUACUGUUUUUGCUACCUUUUUUUCACCUGUGUAAUGCUGUCCUCCUGCGUAUUCUGGGGUUCAGACUGAAUGCAGUGGUAAAUGUGCUGCUCACAAUUGACAGCAGCAACAUUAAAUUGACAAGAAGGGUGUUGAUAUAGCUGGGUUUAGGCAUGGCUUCCUUGUUUUGUUUCUCAUUCUGCUGGAGUUGACCUAGUAUUUUAUAUUAAACCUACCUUACGCAUCCAGUUGUUUCUCCAUUUGUAACUCACCCACCAAAAAUCACAAUAUGCUGUUUUACAUUUUGUGUUAUUUGUGCUGGUCUAAUUGCUAAAAUGGAAAAGCAGAAGAAUCUGUGCGCUCUCUGAUAGUAAUAAUAGUUCAUAUGGUGCUCUUCAAUGUCCCAGGUUUGUGGCAUUGAUGA